rnacentral:rRNA from 1 species
UACAGAGGGCUCAAGCGUUAAUCGGAAUCACUGGGCUUAAAGGGUCCGCAGGCGGAUUGGAAAGUAUCUUGUGAAAUACCACGGCUCAACCGUGGAACUGCUCGGUAAACUUCCAAUCUUGAACACGGUAGGGGCCAUCGGAACUCUAGGUGGAGCGGUGAAAUGCGUAGAUAUCUAGAGGAACGCCAGAGGCGAAGGCGGAUGGCUGGGCCGUUGUUGACGCUCAGGGACGAAAGCAUGGGUAGCGAACGGGAUUAGAUACCCGGGUAGUCC